rnacentral:rRNA from 1 species
UUCUUGGUCAUUUAGAGGAAGUAAAAGUCGUAACAAGGUUUCCGUAGGUGAACCUGCGGAAGGAUCAUUACAGAGUUCUUGCCCCCCGGGGUAGAUCUCCCACCCUUGAAUACUAUACCUUCGUUGCUUUGGCGGGCCGCUUCGGCUACCGGCUCCGGCUGGUACGCGCCCGCCAGAGGACCCCAAACUCUGAAUUACAGUGUCGUCUGAGUACUAUACAAUAGUUAAAACUUUCAACAACGGAUCUCUUGGUUCUGGCAUCGAUGAAGAACGCAGCGAAAUGCGAUAAGUAAUGUGAAUUGCAGAAUUCAGUGAAUCAUCGAAUCUUUGAACGCACAUUGCGCCCCUUGGUAUUCCGAGGGGCAUGCCUGUUCGAGCGUCAUUAUAACCCUCAAGCCCAGCUUGGCGUUGGGGCAUGCCACCCGGCAGCCCUCAAAACUAGUGGCGGCGCCUGUCGGCUCCGAGCGUAGUAAUUCUUCUCGCUACAGAGUCCUGCGGGACGCCCGCCAACAACCCCCAAUUUUUCUAUGGUUGACCUCGGAUCAGGUAGGGAUACCCGCUGAACUUAAGCAUAUCAAUAAGCGGAGGAA